GGAGAGGUGGCCGAGUGGUCGAAGGCGCACGCCUGGAAAGUGUGUAGGCGGUGAUACCGUCUCGAGGGUUCGAAUCCCUCUCUCUCCGCCA
rnacentral:tRNA from 2 species